UACGUAGGGUGCAAGCGUUAUUCGGAAUUAUUGGGCGUAAAGGGCGCGUAGGCGGCUAGAUGUGUCAAAGGUGAAAUCCCUCGGCUCAACUGAGGAACUGCCUUUGAAACUGUCUGGCUUGAGGCCGGGAGAGGGUAGCGGAAUUCCCAGUGUAGCGGUGAAAUGCGUAGAUAUUGGGAGGAACACCAGUGGCGAAGGCGGCUACCUGGACCGGUUCUGACGCUGAGGCGCGAAAGCGUGGGUAGCAAACAGG
rnacentral:rRNA from 1 species